CUUUCGGCAGGAUGUGAGUUGGGUCCUAAUAUGAGAAGACAUUGUCCUACCAUUGGAGAUGGAUAUGUGAAUUGAAGAUUCAGGAAUUUUAAUGUUGGGGUCUUGUCAGCUUUCUGUAUGAGAAGAUUCCAGAGAUUGGGUGGAACUUUGAGGAUGAAGGUAGAAAACAAGCGGCCUUUGGUGAGGGGUAUCCCCACAUCACCCCAGGUGCCUUUGGCUCUAUUCUCCCCACCGGAAGAUUGAUCCCUGGAGACGUUUUUCAAAUACAGAUCACUUGCGGACCAAGAGGGGGUGGGCAGAGGUCUCUGGGUCGGCUUCUGCCUACCCCGCGAGGCCCAGAGAUUCAUGUGUCCGUAGGGCAAGAUGUACUUCGCCAACCUCCCAUGGCAAGACCUUUUUGCGGGCAAAUAAAGUCUCCAGGACCCACACCCUUCCACAAUCUAGUGACUGCUCCAGGCCAGGUGCUAGAAGGGGGGCGGUGCUGGAGUCGGUGGGGGAGAAGGCGUGGCUAGAGCGGGAAGAGAGGGAGGCGUGGUGUGCUGUGGGAGGACUUCGGCACACCCAGCCGUGGAAUUGACAGAUGGGCGUGGCUUAACGGCCUCACGCCUGGGAUUGGAGGGCUGAGGCGUGACCACAUAAUGUUGGGCGUGGCUAAGGAAAGCAGGCUUCCGGGAGAGGGAAGGUAGCUGUCGCUGUUUAGCCCUGGGAUUGGAGGGCUGGGGAGAGGGCGUGGUUCCGGAACCCGGGCCUGCGCGGGCGUCUGAGAGUGGAUGCCAGGGUUAACCUUGUAACUAGCCCUGGGGACAGAAGAUGCGGAAAGUAUCGACGCAGGUCCUCCAAGCGCUCAGGAGUACACGGGUUGGCAAACAUAACACCCAGAGGAGGCACAGUGAAGUUGAUGGAAUGUCACCCAGCAGACACUGUGGAAUGACGCACUAGAUCGGAUAGGCUGCCCUUGAGGAGCCCCUUGCCACGGGCUGGGUGACCCCCGACAUGCUCCAUCUCCUUGAAUCCUCCCUCACAAAGCCUUAUGAGGUGGAAGCUGUGAUUGCCUCCAUUCUACAGACAAGGAAAAGGAGACACAGAGACGCUAAGUAAUUUGCCCGAAAUAGUCCAGCUAGUGAGCCGUGAGCAAGAGUUGAAGCCAUGCCACCUUCCCGAGCCUAUGCUCUCAUUUACUAAAGCUCAAAUACUCCCACGGACCCCAGGAGCAGACACAAGGUAACAAGCAACAAACGCACACAACGCACACCCUGACUGGAUCCUCUCCCCGUGCCCACCUUGCCAGCUGUGGAACUCCACAACCCAGCCUCCCCGCCUCCCAAGCCUGGGGUCCUCACCUGACCCAGCAAUGACAAUCCUUGCUUUAUUUACCCAGCUUUCUUGGCGCGGCUGGGGUCCAAUAACCAAAGUUGCUAGCCACUGAGCCUGAGACCCUUGGAAAGACCUAGCAUGGAUUUCAGAGUGUCUUUGCCCCCUAAGCUUGAGUUAACUUGGAGGGAGUCCUGGCCUAAUAGCUAAGAAGAGACUCCGGGUUUGUCACCCUUCCUUUGUCAUUGGCUACCUGUGGGAUCAUGGAAAAGGCAGCCCUCUCUCGUUCUCUCUUUCCCAUCUAUACCAUGGGGGAUCAUCAAGGACCUUCCAUCUUGGAUUGUGGCAAAGACUGUGCUAUCCGUUUAUAAAGUACUUAGAACACAGCCUGACACAGACUAAGGGCUCUGUAGGUGCUAGUUAUUAGAUGUGAGUCUCCACUUCUCUGUCCAAGGGGUGCGACAAACCAGAUAGUCUGAACCUGAGCAUUCAUUGAACCCCCGAAAUUGCACACAAAAUUGCAUGUGUUUACAUACAACUUUUAUUAGGUUCCCCAGUGGGUCCCCAAAAUGGUAAAAGAAGUCCACAGGAAGGCACAAAAAGAUGUCUUUCUCUAUAGCAAGGGACCCCCCAUCACAUCACCCUGUCCUGACACCAGGCUUCCCCUGUAAAAUCCACACUACCCAUCCCGGUCUGCAGCGUCCCACUCCACUGGCCAACCCAUCAGCCUGACCUCGAGGGGACUCGGAUUCAGCCUUGCUGGCUCUCCUUGCCACCCCACCCCCCACCCCCCAUCCCUGGCCCUCUCUCUGCUCAUCAAACACACCAAAUUCUGUCUGGCCUCAGGGACUUUUUACAUUUGCUUUUCCUCUUCUUUCCAACUCAGCUUCCUACCUAAAAUAGCCACACAACUCACCUCACCCCUCCCCAGAGUCUCUCACGAAUAGCCCCUUUUAGCGCCUAACGCUCUUCAUUCAUUGCUUCCAACAUGACUUUAUAAAGCGGACGUGUCAGGUGCUCUUUCAGGCAACAGACACAGCAGUAAACAAGACAAAGUCGCUGCCUUCGCGGGGGGGGGGCUGACCCUCUGAACCUCUUAACUGUUUAUUUGCUGGUCUAUUGUCUUCCUCCACCACCCCACCCCCAAAUAAAAUGUUUACUCCCUGAGAACCAGAAGCAAUCCUGUCUCCUGCUCUCUAACACACUUUUUUUUAAAUGUUAAAAUGUAUCCUAAACAGGAUCUGCAUACAGUCUCCACGUGUGUCCCAGACAUUCCUUGGUAAUUACAAAGGGGGGAAGGUAUUUAUACAGUGGUGAGAUCAUCCGUCUCAUCUGACUCUGUACUGACACCGUGGGAACCUGCUUGGGAGUCUCUCUCUGCCCCCCCCCCCACUUGCAUUCUCUCUCUUGCUCUCUCUCUC